rnacentral:rRNA from 1 species
AGAGUUUGAUCAUGGCUCAGAACGAACGCUGGCGGCAUGCCUAACACAUGCAAGUCGAACGAAGUCUUCGGACUUAGUGGCGCACGGGUGCGUAACGCGUGGGAAUCUGCCCUUGGGUGCGGAAUAACUUCUCGAAAGGGAUGCUAAUACCGCAUAAUGUCGUAAGACCAAAGAUUUAUCGCCCAAGGAUGAGCCCGCGUAAGAUUAGCUAGUUGGUGGGUAAAAGCCUACCAAGGCGACGACCUUUAGCUGGUCUGAGAGGAUGAUCAGCCACACUGGGACUGAGACACGGCCCAGACUCCUACGGGAGGCAGCAGUGGGGAAUAUUGGACAAUGGGCGAAAGCCUGAUCCAGCAAUGCCGCGUGAGUGAUGAAGGCCCUAGGGUUGUAAAGCUCUUUUACCAGGGAUGAUAAUGACAGUACCUGGAGAAUAAGCUCCGGCUAACUCCGUG